CAUGGCUCAGAGUGAACGCUGGCGGCGUGCUUAACACAUGCAAGUCGAACGGUAGCAGAAACUAGCUUGCUAGUUUGCUGACGAGUGGCGCACGGGUGAGUAAACUAUAGUUAAUGUACCCCAAAGACUGGGAUAGCCACUGGAAACGGUGAUUAAUACUAGAUACACCUUCUUAUCAUAAGGUAAGAAGGGAAAUGUCUUUUCGCUUUGGGAUCAGACUAUAUCCUAUCAGCUAGUUGGUGAGGUAAUGGCUCACCAAGGCAAUGACGGGUAGCGGUUCUGAGAGGAUGAUCCGCCACACUGGUACUGAGACACGGACCAGACUCCUACGGGAGGCAGCAGUGAGGAAUAUUGCACAAUGGGCGAAAGCCUGAUGCAGCAACGCCGCGUGGAGGAUGACGCAUUUCGGAGUGUAAACUCCUUUUAUAUGUCAAGAAAA
rnacentral:rRNA from 1 species